UGAAGUGCGAAAAGUAGUGUGAAAUGCAUAACUGUGAAUCAUUAAAUUUUUGAACGCAUCAUGCACCUUUUGAACAAAAAGGUAUGGCUGUUUGAGUGUUAUAUGAAUAUUGUUUUACAUUUGUUAAACGAGAUGUUGGAAGAAAAUGUCAAUUUUCUCUGAUUAAAAAUAGUGAGUCGCUUUAAAUCUUAUAAAUUGAUAAUCAUUUAUUUGUAAUUUUUAAAAGCUCAACUAUAUUACUCCUUUUUAACCUCAAAUCAGCCAAGUUUACCCGCCGAACUUAA
rnacentral:misc_RNA from 1 species